rnacentral:rRNA from 1 species
AUACGGAGGGUGCAAGCGUUCUCCGGAUUUAUUGGGUUUAAAGGGUGCGCAGGCGGAUAAUUAAGUCAGUGGUGUAAUCCUCCCGCUCAACGGGAGAACUGCCAUUGAUACUGAUAAUCUGGAAUACGGUUGAAGUGGGCGGAAUGUAGCAUGUAGCGGUGAAAUGCAUAGAGAUGCUACAGAACACCGAUCGCGAAGGCAGCUCACUAAGUCGAUAUUGACGCUCAGGCACGAAAGCGUGGGUAGCGAACAGGAUUAGAAACCCCGGUAGUCC